ensembl:lncRNA
CGUCCAAUCACGUGUGAGGUCAUAGGCAUGACUGAUACAGCAGUACUUGCAAGACGAGCAUACAAACAGACACGUGUGUUACUAUAUUCAGAAGAACUGUAUCUCCAGUUCCUUUGUUUGGUUUUUGCUGGUUCGUGAAUAAUGGCUGGACGACGUCUCGCGUUCAACUCGCCUUCAACUCCUCUCCGCGGUCACCAACUUUCGGCCAGUCCGCAAACAGACGAGAAGAAGCUGCUGAAAGCUCUCAGUGGAUCGUCUCGUCAACUCCAACAACAAACUGCCGAUAUCAACGAGCGGUUCGCUCCACUGGAGCGUUCGGGACUCUGCGGGUUUCUGUCCAUGGAGGAGAGGAACCGACUCAAAGAAGAGGAGACGGGCGCACAAUCCCACGAUAGCGGAAGCGGUGCGCCGUCUUCUCAACUCCGAGACGAACUACAGGCGCCACGAACCAGAGCAAGGGUCAGAUUUAAAGAAUAUGCUUUCAUUCUGCGCUAUAAGGGAAUAUAUACGUAUAGAUACCGAUCAUAACUGUACAUUUUGUUUUCACAGACUAAUCUCGCCUCAUAAUGAGGCGGUGACCUCGUAUUUGCUCCGGGAAAAGUCCAGAUUUAGACGACGUCAUUGUGUCCGCCUGUGAGACGUAUUUUGAGACGGGACGCAGGAGCUUCAGGUUCAUGCGGAACACUCAUUGCGAGCGGAAGCUGCGAAGGAUUCAGCGCGGAGUCGAGCGAGAAGAAAGAGGCUGCUGGAAUCGAGACAAAGUGUGCUGGCUGAUGACGAGGUGGAAAUCCGCCACCGUGGAGCUCACGUCGGACGGAGGGGACGGCGUUGUUGGCG